rnacentral:lncRNA from 1 species
UGUGCAUUUUCUGCUAAUUUUCUCAGUCCCGUUCUUUACAGAAAAUUCUAAAGUUUCCGUUUUCACUCCGAUUUCACCCAAACAUGUCCAAAAGAUACCAAGGGACCUUCACAAGCUACCAAUCCAAUUUGGAAGCAAUUCCUUUGCAUUUUGACAUUAUUGGAGCCGAAUUAGCAAUAGAAUCAGCUCCAAUUUCAUUAUAUGGCAGAAAUUUCUCCUUUUUGCACUACCACUUCGCACUGAACACUUCAAAACCCUUUGAAAGCACACCCUUGGCUUUUCCAAAACCUCACAAUUGAUUCGGAGAUACCACAAUUUAUCCUCACGCCUUACUUUAAUUCUUUUAAUCAAAGUUAGCGUCGGAAAUCCGAAAUUCUCUUUAUAUUUCGUUUCGCGCCCAAUUUGCGCCGAAACACUUAUUUAUCUCCAGAAUUCAUUCACACGCAUCACAAAUCACUCGCGGAUGAUGUCCAACUAGCUCAAUCCUCACUUUGACCCUCUAGGUCAAAGUUGACAUCGCAACUCCAAGUUUCCAUAUGUUACACU